UGGGGAAUAUUGGACAAUGGGGGGAACCCUGAUCCAGCCAUGCCGCGUGUGUGAAGAAGGCCUUAUGGUUGUAAAGCACUUUAAGCGAGGAGGAGGGUACUGGUAUUAAUACUACCAGCUACUGGACGUUACUCGCAGAAUAAGCACCGGCUAACUCUGUGCCAGCAGCCGCGGUAAUACAGAGGGUGCGAGCGUUAAUCGGAUUUACUGGGCGUAAAGCGUGCGUAGGCGGCUAAUUGAGUCGGAUGUGAAAUCCCCGAGCUUAACUUGGGAAUUGCAUUCGAUACUGGUUAGCUAGAGUGUGGUAGAGGAUGGUAGAAUUCCAGGUGUAGCGGUGAAAUGCGUAGAGAUCUGGAGGAAUACCGAUGGCGAAGGCAGCCAUCUGGCCUAACACUGACGCUGAGGUACGAAAGCAUGGGGAGCAAACAGG
rnacentral:rRNA from 1 species